CCACGUCGUUGAAGACACCUGGAAAGAGGACGUUCGCUCGGGCACGUUCUUUCCAGGUGUUUUCAACGUGCGUGG
rnacentral:pre_miRNA from 1 species